AAACUAACAAGGAUUCCCCUAGUAACGGCGAGUGAAGCGGGAUGAGCUCAAGCUUAAAAUCUCUGUGCCAGUUUGGCAUGGCGAAUUGUAGUCUAUGGAGGCGCUAUCAGUGCGAUUGUUCGGGUUAAGUUCCUUGGAAGAGGACAGCAUCGAGGGUGAUACUCCCGUAUGUACCUGUUCAGUCGCGCGUACGAUACGUUUUCUUUGAGUCGCGUUGUUUGGGAAUGCAGCGCAAAGUAGGUGGUAAAUUCCAUCUAAAGCUAAAUAUUGGUGCGAGACCGAUAGCGAACAAGUACCGUGAGGGAAAGAUGAAAAGAACUUUGAAAAGAGAGUUAAAGAGUACCUGAAACUGCUGAAAGGGAACCGAAUCGUUUCCAGUGUCUAUAAUCCAUGGUAUAUUUCAUUGGUGUGUAAGUGCGUGCAGCGUUUUGGAAGUAGUUUUCUGCUCCUGUCGUUGUUGUGCAUUUGCCUGCUGGUGCCCUGUGCUGUGGUGGGACGUCAGAGUCAGUUCGUGUGUUGCGGGAAAUGGUUAUUGGGGAGGUAGGUCACUUCGGUGGCUGUUAUAUCCUGAUAACUAGUCGUCGUGGCUGGGACUGAGGUGCCUACAACGUGCUUUUGAGUCUGCGGGCUUCUCGUGUUGCUGUUUGCUUGGAUAGCUUGCUAUGUUUGUAAAUAAGUCGUGCGAUUGAGACCUGUAGUAACUUGUUGCCGUUCGGGACUUUGACGAAAUGGAGCGAUCCGAC
rnacentral:rRNA from 1 species